rnacentral:snRNA from 1 species
ACCUCUUCUCGGUCUUUCAACUAAGAUCAAAUGUAGUAUCUUGUUAUCUUUAUAAUGGUGAUACGUGGGACAUUGUCUCGCAAUGGUAUUAACUCUAUUUCUCUAGGGGAGAAACCAUUCCCGUGAGUUCACGGUACCACCCCGCUACCACUCGUAAAGGUAGUUUUGAGAUCCGUAGCGGUUAUCGCUA